UCCACACUGUGGAAGCUUUGUUCUUUUGCUCUUUGCAAUAAAUCUUGCUACUGCUCACUCUUUGGGUCCACGCUGCUUUUAUGAGCGGUAACACUCACUGCGAAGGUCUGCAGCUUGACUCCUGAGCCAGCGAGACCACGAACCCACCAGAAGGAAGAAACUCCGAACACAUCUGAACAUCAGAAGGGACAGACUCCAGAUGCGCCACCUUAAGAGCUGUAACACUCACCGCGAGGGUCCGCGGCUUCAUUCUUGAAGUCAGUGAGACCAAUAACCCACCAAUUCCGGACAUAAUUGUGUAGAAAUGAGAGAGAUGUAAAUAGCUACCAAAGGAGAAUUGACAAGUCUGAGCAGAAGAAGCACAGAUAUCAAAAGGCAAAGGAGGAGGAAGACUUGGAAAAACAAAAGGUAGCGACUAAGUUGUCUGAGUCUGAUCUGACAUGAACAAAACAAACCAAGGUCUAUUCACAAUAGCCAAGAUGUGGAAACAACCUAUUAUGCCCAUCAACAGAUGACUGGAUAAAAAAAUUGUGGGAUAAUAUACACAAUGGAAUACUACUCAACCUUUAAAAAAAAGGAAAUUCUUCAAUACACACAACACGGAUGAAUCCUGAGAACAUGAUGCUAAGUUAAAUAAGCCAGUCACAGAAAGACAAAUGCUGCUUGAUUCCACUUGUAUGAGCUGUAAUCCCAAGCCAUCUCUAAGUAUGUUCAUUCUGGAGUCCAGACAUUCUGAAAACCAAAUGGAAGAAAAGGAGCCAAGGUGACUAAGAAGGAUCAGCCAGAAAGGAAUGAGGAAAAGCAGGAGUGCCCAGAACCUCAAAAGCUGAGAGAAAGUGAACUUCAAAGAACAGAAGUGCAUCUGGGUAGAUAUCCUAAAGACUUGAAAUCAGUAUGUGGAAGAGGCAUCUGCAUUGCUAUGUUCAUUGCAGCAUUAUUCACAAUAACCCAGAUGUUGAAUCAACCUAAGUGUCUAUCCAUAGAUGAAUGAAUGAAGGAAAUAUGAUCUGUAUACAUAAUGAAAUACUAUUCAGCCAUAAAAAAGAGUGAAAUCCUGUCAGUUGCAUCAUGGAACUGAAGGACAUAAUGGAAUACUAUUUAGCCUGAAAACAGAAUUCAUACUCCAAGCCCCACAAUACGCAAUAUACCUUUGUAACAAGCCUGUACAUGUACCCCUGAUUCUAAAAUAAAACCUGAAUAAGAA
rnacentral:lncRNA from 1 species